GAUGAAGAACGGAGCAAAAUGCGAUAAGUAAUGUGAAUUGCAGAAUUCAGUGAAUCAUCGAAUCUUUGAACGCACAUUGCGCCCGCCAGUAUUCUGGCGGGCAUGCCUGUUCGAGCGUCAUUUCAACCCUCAAGCACAGCUUGGUGUUGGGACUCGCGUUAAUUCGCGUUCCUCAAAUUGAUUGGCGGUCACGUCGAGCUUCCAUAGCGUAGUAGUAAAACCCUCGUUACUGGUAAUCGUCGCGGCCACGCCGUUAAACCCCAACUUCUGAAUGUUGACCUCGGAUCAGGUAGGAAUACCCGCUGAACUUAAGCAUAUCAAUAAGCGGAGGA
rnacentral:misc_RNA from 1 species